rnacentral:rRNA from 1 species
AUGCCUUCCGGCUCGGGCUCCGACCCGCUGCUCGCGCGCGCCGACGGCAGCAGCAUGGAGGAAGACGACGGCAUCGACGUCGCGGCGGUGGACCACCGCGGCCGUCCCGCCCCCCGCGCCUCCACCGGCCGCUGGCGGUCGGCGCUCUUCAUCAUAGCGGUGGAGAUCGCGGAGCGGUUCUCGUUCUACGGCGUGUCGGCGAACCUGAUCAGCUACCUGACGGGGCCGCUGGGCGAGAGCAACGCCAAGGCCGCGUCCGCCAUCAACGCCUGGAACGGCGUGGCGCAGCUGCUGCCGCUGCUCGGCGCCGCCCUCGCCGACUCCUGCCUCGGCCGCUACCGCACCAUCGUCAUCGCCUCCCUGCUCUACAUCCUGGGUUUAGGCAUGCUGGCUCUCUCGACAUUGCUCUCCUCCGGGGAUCACAAAUGCAGUAACACCGACGGCGGCACGCCCUGCCCGCCGCCGUCCGGUCUGCAGAUGGCCGCGUUCUACACCUCCCUCUACCUGGUGGCCCUGGCGCAGGGCGGGCACAAGCCGUGCGUCCAGGCCUUCGGCGCCGACCAGUUCGACGCGAGCCACCCGCGGGAGGCCGUCUCCCGGAGCUCCUUCUUCAACUGGUGGUACUUCGGCAUAUGCGCCGGCACCGCCGUCACGCUCGUGUUCCUCAGCUACAUCCAGGACAACAUCGGCUGGGGCCUCGGCUUCGGCAUCCCGUGCGUCGUGAUGCUCUGCGCCCUCGCCGUCUUCUUGCUCGGCACCCGCACCUACCGCUACUACGCCUCCGACGGCAAGCAGCGGAGCCUGUUCGCUCGUGCCGGCGAGGCUUUCGCGGUGUGGCGGAGCAAGCGGCGGAAGUCGAGUCCCCUUGCAGCCUCCGGUUCGCAUGAAGCUCAUCGACCGGCAACAUCGGCGCCGGAAUACAGUGCUCAGGUCGACGAGGAAGAGCAGGGGGUGGUGAUCAGAAACGCGGACCUCAUCGAGGAAGUCAAGGGCGUCCUCCGGCUGUUCCCGAUCUGGGCGACGUGCCUGAUCUACGCCGUGGCGUUCUCCCAGUCGUCCACGUUCUUCACGAAGCAGGCGGCGACCCUCGACCGGCACGUCGGCAAGCGGGUCCAGGUGCCACCGGCGGCGCUGCAGAGCUUCAUCAGCAUCACCAUCGUGCUCUUCAUGCCCAUCUACGACCGCGCCAUCGUGCCGCUGGCGCGCCGCUGCACGGGCGUCUCCUCGGGCAUCACCAUGCUGCAGCGCAUCGGCGUCGGGAUGGUGCUCUCGCUCGUGUCGAUGGUGGUGGCGGCGCUCGUGGAGACACGCCGGCUCCGGAUCGCGGCGGACGCCGGCCUGGCGGACCUGCCCAGGGUGCCGGUCCCGAUGAGCCUGUGGUGGAUGGUGCCGCAGUACGUGCUGUUCGGCGCGGCGGACGUGUUCACCAUGGUGGGGCUGCAGGAGUUCUUCUACGACCAGGUGCCCGACAAGCUGCGCAGCAUCGGGCUGGCGCUCUACCUCAGCAUCUUCGGCAUCGGCAGCUUCAUCAGCAGCGGCCUCGUGUCGGGCAUCGACAAGUGGAGCUCGGAGAGGGGGCAGAGCUGGUUCUCCAACAAUCUCAACCGCGGCCACCUCGACUACUUCUACUGGCUCAUCGCCGCGCUCAGCGCGCUCGAGCUUGUGGUGUACGUCUUCUUCGCCGUAACCUUCAAGUACAAGAAGAAGGCAGCAUCAGCUACCGUUGGUUAG